UCUGGUGGCGAGUGGCGAACGGGUGAGUAAUGUAUCGGAACGUAUCCAAUAAUGGGGGAUAACUAGUCGAAAGAUUAGCUAAUACCGCAUACGCCUUACGGGGGAAAGCAGGGGAUCUUCGGACCUUGCGUUAAUGGAGCGGCCGAUAUCUGAUUAGCUAGUUGGUGAGGUAAAGGCUCACCAAGGCGGCGAUCAGUAGCUGGUCUGAGAGGACGACCAGCCACACUGGAACUGAGACACGGUCCAGACUCCUACGGGAGGCAGCAGUGGGGAAUUUUGGACAAUGGGCGCAAGCCUGAUCCAGCCAUUCCGCGUGAGUGAAGAAGGCCUUCGGGUUGUAAAGCUCUUUCGCAAGAGAAGAAAACUUACUUUCUAAUAAAGAGUGAGGCUGACGGUAUCUUGAUAAGAAGCACCGGCUAACUACGUGCCAGCAGCCGCGGUAAUACGUAGGGUGCGAGCGUUAAUCGGAAUUACUGGGCGUAAAGCGUGCGCAGGCUGUUUUGUAAGUCAGAUGUGAAAUCCCUGAGCUCAACUUAGGA
rnacentral:rRNA from 1 species